CUGGCUCAGAACGAACGCUGGCGGCAGGCUUAACACAUGCAAGUCGAACGCCCCGCAAGGGGAGUGGCAGACGGGUGAGUAACGCGUGGGAAUCUACCCAGUUCU
rnacentral:rRNA from 1 species